rnacentral:rRNA from 1 species
CGAGCUCUCCAAACGUUAUUCGGUAUCACUGGGCUUAAAGAGUUCGUAGGCGGUCUGGUAGGUGAGGUGUGAAAUCCCCCGGCUCAACCGGGGAACUGCGCUUCAAACCGCCGGACUUGAGGGAGACAGAGGUGGGCGGAACAGAUGGUGGAGCGGUGAAAUGCGUUGAUAUCAUCUGGAACACCGGUGGCGAAAGCGGCCCACUGGGUCUUUUCUGACGCUGAGGAACGAAAGCUAGGGUAGCGAACGGGAUUAGAUACCCCGGUAGUCCUAGCCGUAAACGAUGAGCACUAGCCCGUGGGGACUUUCACAUCCUCUCGGGCGUAGCGAAAGUGUUAAGUGCUCCGCCUGGGGAGUAUGGUCGCAAGGCUG